rnacentral:misc_RNA from 1 species
AAUUCUCAACCUUUCAAGCUUUUUUAAAGAGGAGCUAGUCAGGCUUGGAUAUUGGGAGUGUGCCGGUUCGUAGCGAGUCAGCUCUCCUCAAAUGUAUUAGCAAGAUUAAAACGCUCCAUUAUCUCUGAUAUGAUAAUUAUCUAUAUCAUUGAUAUAGCAGUGUUUUUCCUUCACGGAAACAUCUGGCUUUCUAACUGUCCGUCGAGACAAUUAAAUCAAUG